rnacentral:lncRNA from 1 species
UCCGGAUGUCGCUUCAAAAGUAUUUAACGAUCUCACACAUCAUAAGGGGCACCCCCUGUCACGCCCAAUAUGCGACCCUAUCCAAAAGGAACUCGAAGGUCCCACCAAGGAUAGACCCGCAUAUUGAAACGCUUUGCAAGGUGGAUAUCAUUACAUCAACAUUACAUAAUAGAUGGGGAUACAUACAUAAGGAUUACAAUGCCACACGAAUACAACAUCACAAUACAUAAGAGCAUCAUCCGUCUACGGAUGAAUCACAAACAGAAACUCAAACGACAUCCACCCUGCUAGCCCAGGCUGCUGACCUGGAACCUAUCCCCUGAACGAAGAAGAAGCAGAAGAAGAACUCAACGCAAGCAAGCAUCGCUCUCGCGUCAUGAUCAUCGCAUAAACCUGUACCUGCAACUGUUGUUGUAGUAAUCUGUGAGCCACGAGGACUCAGCAAUCCCAUUACCAUGGGUAUCAAGACUAGCAAAGCUUAAUGGGAAAGGAAGGGGGAAAAUGGUGAGGCUGCAACAGCGACUAAGCAUAUAUGGUGGCUAACAUAUGCAAACAAGAGCGAGAAGAGAGCAAGCAGAACGGUCGUGAAGCUAGCAAUGAUCAAGAAGUGAUCCUAAACUCCUACUUACGUCAAACAUAACCCAGAAACCGUGUUCACUUCCCGGACUCCGCCGAGAAGAGACCAUCACGGCUACACACGUGGUUGAUGCAUUUUAAUUCGGAUCUGGUGUCAAGUUAUCUAAACCGGACAUUAACAAAUUCCCAUCUGCCUAUAACCGCAGGCACGGCUUUCAAAAGAUUAUACCCUGCAGGGGUGUCCCAACUUAGCCCAUGACAAGCUCUCGCGAUCAACAGAGGAAUAGACCUUCUCCCAGGAAGACCCGAUCAGACUCGGAAUCCCGGUUUACAAGACAUUUCGGCAAUGGUAAAACAAGACCAGCAAAGCCGCCCGAUGUGCCGACAAAUCCUGAUAGGAGCUGCACAUAUCUCGUUCUCAGGACACACCGGAUGAGCAAGACGACGGGUUGGCAUAGACCCUGGUUGCCCAGGGGGCGCCGGACAUCGCUCGGUUUGGACCAACACUUAGACAAGCACUGGCCCAGGGGGGCUAAAAUAAAGAUGACCCUCGGGCUCCGGAAACCCAAGGGAAAAAGGGCUAGGUGAGGCAAAUGGUAAAACCAAUGUUGGGCCUUGCUGGAGGAGUUUUAUUCAAAGCGAACUGUCAAGGGGGUCCCAUAAAUCACCUGACCGCGCAAGGAACGCAAAAUCCGGGAACAUAACACCGGUAUGACGGAAACUAGGGCGGCAAGAGUGGAACAAAACACCAGGCAAAAGGCCGAGCCUUCCACCCUUUACCAAAUAUGUAGAUGCAUUAAUAAUAUAAGAGAUAUUGUGAUAUCCCAACAAAAUCCUGUCCACCAUGGAGCAAUCUUCAACUUCACCUGCAACUAGCAACGCUAUAAGAGGGCUGAGCAAAGCGGUAACAUAGCCAAGCAACGGUUUGCAUAGGUAAGGUGUCAAAGGAUAGAGGUUCAUGGCAAUAUGGGAUGGCUUGAUAAACAGGUAAUAGGUAGCGCAGCAUAGCGAUAGAACGAAGCAACUAGCAUAGCAAUGAUAGUAGUGAGAUCCAGGGUAGCGGUCAUCUUGCCUGAAAUCCCGCAAGGAAGAAGAACGAGUCCAUGAAGUAGACGAACCAACGUAGUCG